rnacentral:rRNA from 1 species
GUGGAUUAGAUACCCUAGUAGUCCUGGCCGUAAACGAUGGAUACUAGGUGUUGCGGGUAUCGACCCCUGCAGUGCCGAAGCAAACGCGAUAAGUAUCCCGCCUGGGGAGUACGCACGCAAGUGUGAAACUCAAAGGAAUUGACGGGGACCCGCACAAGCGGUGGAACAUGUGGUUUAAUUCGAAGCAACGCGAAAAACCUUACCAGGGCUUGACAUCUGACGAACCUCGAUGAAAGUUGAGGGUGCUCUUCGGAGAGCGUCAAGACAGGUGGUGCAUGGCUGUCGCCAACU